CUACGGGAUGCUCCAGUGGGGAAUAUUGGACAAUGGGGGGAACCCUGAUCCAGCCAUGCCGCGUGAAUGAUGAAGGCCUUCGGGUUGUAAAAUUCUUUUGGUGGGGAAGAUGAUGACGGUACCCACAGAAUAAGCUCCGGCUAACUUCGUGCCAGCAGCCGCGGUAAUACGAAGGGAGCUAGCGUUGUUCGGAAUUACUGGGCGUAAAGGGCGCGUAGGCGGUAAGAACAGUCAGGUGUGAAAUCCCAGGGCUCAACCCUGGAACUGCGCUUGAUACUUUCUUGCUAGAAUUCGGUAGAGGUGAGUGGAAUUCCCAGUGUAGAGGUGAAAUUCGUAGAGAUUGGGAAGAACACCAGUGGCGAAGGCGGCUCACUGGACCGACAUUGACGCUGAGGCGCGAAAGCGUGGGGAGCAAACAGGAUUAGAUACCCCGGUAGUC
rnacentral:rRNA from 1 species